rnacentral:rRNA from 1 species
UACGUAGGUGGCAAGCGUUGUCCGGAAUUAUUGGGCGUAAAGCGCGCGCAGGCGGUCCUUUAAGUCUGAUGUGAAAGCCCCCGGCUCAACUGGGGAGGGUCACGCGAUACUGCUCGACUUGAAGGCAGGAGAGGGAAGUGGAAUUCCCGGUGUAGUGGUGAAAUGCGUAGAUAUCAGGAGGAACACCGAUGGCGAAGGCAGGUCUCUGGGCCACUACUGACGCUGAGAAGCGAAAGCAUGGGGAGCGAACAGG